GCGACAGCGGGAUCUAGCAAUACCGCGUGUGUGAAGAAGGCCUGCGGGUUGUAAAGCACUUUCAGUGGGGAAGAAAAGCAUAAGUUUAAUACCCGUGGGUAUUGACGUUACCCACAGAAGAAGCACCGGCUAAAUCCGUGCCAGCAGCCGCGGUAAUACGGAGGGGGCRAGCGUUAAUUGGAAUUAUUGGGCGUGAGCGCGCGUAGGCGGGUUAGUCAGUCAGAUGUGAAAGCCCCCGGCUCAACCCCGGAAAUGCAUUUGAUACUGUUGUACUAGAGUAUGGUAGAGGGAAGUGGAAAUCUGGGWGUAGCGGUGAAAURHGUGGAUAUCUGGAGGAACACCCCUGGCGAAGGCGACUUCCUGGACCAAUACUGACGCUGAGGUGUGAAAGCGUGGGUAGCAAACAGGAUUAGAUACCCCGGUAGUCCACGCCGUAAACGAUGUCAACUAGCCGUUGGGUCAUCUAAGGGCUUAGUGGCGUAGCUAACGCGUUAA
rnacentral:rRNA from 1 species